UCUCCGUAGGUGAACCUGCGGAGGGAUCAUUACAGAGUUCUCGCCCUCGCGGGUAGAUCUCCCACCCACUGUUAUCGUUACUGUGUUGCUUUGGCGGGCCGCCGGGCCCCGCUCGGCCGCCGGCUCCGGCUGGCGCGCGCCCGCCAGAGGCCCAGCAAACUCUGAAUGUUAGUGUCGUCUGAGUACUAUAUAAUAAUUAAAACUUUCAACAACGGAUCUCUUGGUUCUG
rnacentral:misc_RNA from 1 species